UACAGAGGGUGCAAGCGUUAAUCGGAAUUACUGGGCGUAAAGCGUGUGUAGGCGGAUCGUUAAGUGUCUUGUGAAAUCCCACGGCUCACCCGUGGAACGGCUGGGCAUACUGGCGAUCUUGGGCCAACUAGGGGCAACUGGAACAAGCGGUGGAGCGGUGAAAUGCGUAGAUAUCGCUUGGAACGCCGAAGGUGAAAACAGGUUGCUGGGGUUGUGCCGACGCUGAGACACGAAAGCCAGGGGAGCAAACGGG
rnacentral:rRNA from 1 species